rfam:Pelobacter carbinolicus DSM 2380, complete genome.
AGGAUAUAUCGGCAAAGCCGGAGUAAUCCGGUGACGCAAAGCCACGGGUCCUCAUUGAGGAUAGCCGGGUUGCUGAA